rnacentral:rRNA from 1 species
CCGGCGAUUUCCGAAUGGGGAAACCCAGUGUGUUUCGACACACUAUCAUUAACUGAAUCCAUAGGUUAAUGAGGCGAACCGGGGGAACUGAAACAUCUAAGUACCCCGAGGAAAAGAAAUCAACCGAGAUUCCCCCAGUAGCGGCGAGCGAACGGGGAGCAGCCCAGAGCCUGAAUCAGUGUGUGUGUUAGUGGAAGCGUCUGGAAAGGCGCGCGAUACAGGGUGACAGCCCCGUACACAAAAAUGCACAUACUGUGAGCUCGAUGAGUAGGGCGGGACACGUGGUAUCCUGUCUGAAUAUGGGGGGACCAUCCUCCAAGGCUAAAUACUCCUGACUGACCGAUAGUGAACCAGUACCGUGAGGGAAAGGCGAAAAGAACCCCGGCGAGGGGAGUGAAAAAGAACCUGAAACCGUGUACGUACAAGCAGUGGGAGCCUCUUAAUGGGGUGACUGCGUACCUUUUGUAUAAUGGGUCAGCGACUUAUAUUCUGUAGCAAGGUUAACCGAAUAGGGGAGCCGAAGGGAAACCGAGUCUUAACUGGGCGUUAAGUUGCAGGGUAUAGACCCGAAACCCGGUGAUCUAGCCAUGGGCAGGUUGAAGGUUGGGUAACACUAACUGGAGGACCGAACCGACUAAUGUUGAAAAAUUAGCGGAUGACUUGUGGCUGGGGGUGAAAGGCCAAUCAAACCGGGAGAUAGCUGGUUCUCCCCGAAAGCUAUUUAGGUAGCGCCUCGUGAAUUCAUCUCCGGGGGUAGAGCACUGUUUCGGCAAGGGGGUCAUCCCGACUUACCAACCCGAUGCAAACUGCGAAUACCGGAGAAUGUUAUCACGGGAGACACACGGCGGGUGCUAACGUCCGUCGUGAAGAGGGAAACAACCCAGACCGCCAGCUAAGGUCCCAAAGUCAUGGUUAAGUGGGAAACGAUGUGGGAAGGCCCAGACAGCCAGGAUGUUGGCUUAGAAGCAGCCAUCAUUUAAAGAAAGCGUAAUAGCUCACUGGUCGAGUCGGCCUGCGCGGAAGAUGUAACGGGGCUAAACCAUGCACCGAAGCUGCGGCAGCGACACUAUGUGUUGUUGGGUAGGGGAGCGUUCUGUAAGCCUGUGAAGGUGUACUGUGAGGUAUGCUGGAGGUAUCAGAAGUGCGAAUGCUGACAUAAGUAACGAUAAAGCGGGUGAAAAGCCCGCUCGCCGGAAGACCAAGGGUUCCUGUCCAACGUUAAUCGGGGCAGGGUGAGUCGACCCCUAAGGCGAGGCCGAAAGGCGUAGUCGAUGGGAAACAGGUUAAU